UAAAGACAUUGCACAUUAAUUUUUUUUUUAUUUUAAUUUGUAAAGUUUUUAAUGAAGAUAAUUUUUAAUUUCUCAUCUUUUUCAAUGAAUUAAAUUUUUAAUUCUCCAAGAAAAACUUAAAGGCAAAUACACAUCUAUCGGUUCCAUAAAUAUAAAUUUAUUUUUUUCUUUCGAAAUAUCAGGGCAAACUUGACCUGACCUCAAAGAAGGUGAUUCUCAAAUCCAUCUGACCUAAAAGAAACCAGAAGCAACUAGUUGCCCUGAACUUGUAAUAAUAACUAGACAUGUAUCCGCGCGAGUAUUUUUAUUUUUUAAAUUAUUAAUAGAAUA
rnacentral:misc_RNA from 1 species